rnacentral:rRNA from 1 species
UACAGAGGUCCCAAGCGUUGUUCGGAUUCACUGGGCGUAAAGGGUGCGUAGGCGGUUGGGUAAGUCUGACGUGAAAUCUCCGGGCCUAACCCGGAAACUGCGUUGGAUACUAUCCGACUAGAGGAAUGGAGGGGAGACUGGAAUACUUGGUGUAGCAGUGAAAUGCGUAGAUAUCAAGUGGAACACCAGUGGCGAAGGCGAGUCUCUGGACAUUUCCUGACGCUGAGGCACGAAAGCCAGGGGAGCAAACGGG